UAGGGAAUCUUCGGCAAUGGACGAAAGUCUGACCGAGCAACGCCGCGUGAGUGAAGAAGGUUUUCGGAUCGUAAAACUCUGUUGUUAGAGAAGAACAAGGACGUUAGUAACUGAACGUCCCCUGACGGUAUCUAACCAGAAAGCCACGGCUAACUACGUGCCAGCAGCCGCGGUAAUACGUAGGUGGCAAGCGUUGUCCGGAUUUAUUGGGCGUAAAGCGAGCGCAGGCGGUUUCUUAAGUCUGAUGUGAAAGCCCCCGGCUCAACCGGGGAGGGUCAUUGGAAACUGGGAGACUUGAGUGCAGAGGAGGAGAGUGGAAUUCCAUGUGUAGCGGUGAGAUGCGUAGAUAUAAGGAGGAACACCAGUGGCGAAGGCGGCUCUCUGGUCUGUAACUGACGCUGAGGCUCGAAAGCGUGGGGAGCAAACAGG
rnacentral:rRNA from 1 species